rnacentral:lncRNA from 1 species
CUUGAUAGUGUCAGCAGUCUGGCUUGAGAUCUUCAGAUCUUCAGAAUCUUCAGACUCUCGAACCUUGUAACCUCAAAGCCUGGCUUGAGAUCUUCAAAAUCUUCAUCUAAGUAAUAAAACUCCAUAAGCUUACCAUUCUUCAUAAGCUUGAUGAUAAUAGUCAUAUCUAGAAGCAGAAGUGGAGAGAAUAUUGCAGCAAUAACAUAACGUCUUUCCAGAACUUCUUAGGAGUGAAUCAACAUAGAAGCAGAAAGAACAUUGCGACACUAACUUGACAUCUUUCAGAACUUCUCAUGAGUGAUUAGUGCAAAAGAGGAAUUCGGAACAAAUGUUCAAAAAUUGAUGACAACACACGUCAUAAACUCAUAAUCAAAACUGACUGUUAAAGCUACACAAUAACAAACCAUCAGGAUACCAAAAUCGUUCUCACACAAAUACAACAUUGUUAUCAUAAAAACUCAAGGUAUAAAUGCAUAACCAAAUCAUAUUUUAACACUUUCAAAUAUAAAGUACUACAGUUGAUUGGCAAGAAAUGCUUAACCAUCCAAGGAGGAAACUUGUUGGUGAAUGAAAACUCCAUACUCGAGUGAGUGCCAAGACUACAAGAAGCAUUUC